rnacentral:rRNA from 1 species
UUGACUGUACAAAGGUAGCAUAAUCAUUAGUCUUUUAAUAGAGGGCUGGAAUGAAAGGUUUAACGAGGAACUGACUGUCUCAUUUUAUUUGUUUUAAAAUUUAAUUUUUUAGUUAAAAAGCUAAAAUUUUAUUGGUAGACGAGAAGACCCUAUAGAGCUUUACAUUUAAUUAUAUAAAUAUUUUUAUAUUAAUAUUUUUAUUUAAUUAUGUGUUUUGUUGGGGUGACAAAAAUAUAUAAUUAACUUUUUUAUUUAAUUAACCAUUGAUUUAUGAUUAUUAGAUCCAUUAUUAUUGAUUAUUAGACUAAGUUACCUUAGGGAUAACAGCGUAAUAU